rnacentral:rRNA from 1 species
UAAACUGCUUUUGUAUGUGAAGAAUAUGACGGUAACAUACGAAUAAGGGUCGGCUAACUACGUGCCAGCAGCCGCGGUCAUACGUAGGACCCAAGCGUUAUCCGGAGUGACUGGGCGUAAAGAGUUGCGUAGGCGGUUUGUAAAGCGAAUAGUGAAAUCUGGUGGCUCAACCACACAGGCUAUUAUUCGAACUCACAAUCUCGAGAGUAGCAGAGGUAACUGGAAUUUCUUGUGUAGGAGUGAAAUCCGUAGAUAUAAGAAGGAACACCAAUGGCGUAGGCAGGUUACUGGGCUAUUUCUGACGCUAAGGCACGAAAGCGUGGGGAGCGAACCGGAUUAGAUACCCGGGUAGUCCACGCCGUAAACGAUGGAUACUAGCUGUUGGAGGUAUCGACCCCUUCAGUAGCAAAGCUAACGCGUUAAGUAUCCCGCCUGUGGAGUACGGUCGCAAGACUAAAACAUAAAGGAAUUGACGGGGACCCGCACAAGCGGUGGAUCGUGUUCUUUAAUUCGAUGCUAAACGAAGAACCUUACCAGGGCUUGACAUCCCUUGAAUUAAUCCGAAAGGAUUGAGUGCUUUAUUGAGCAAGGUGACAGGUGUUGCAUGGCCGUCGUCAGCU